rnacentral:rRNA from 1 species
AGAGUUUGAUCCUGGCUCAGAUUGAACGCUGGCGGCAUGCCUUACACAUGCAAGUCGAACGGCAGCACGGGAGCAAUCCUGGUGGCGAGUGGCGAACGGGUGAGUAAUACAUCGGAACGUGCCCUGUCGUGGGGGAUAACUAGUCGAAAGAUUAGCUAAUACCGCAUACGACCUGAGGGUGAAAGCGGGGGACCGUAAGGCCUCGCGCGAUAGGAGCGGCCGAUGUCUGAUUAGCUAGUUGGUGGGGUAAAGGCCCACCAAGGCGACGAUCAGUAGCUGGUCUGAGAGGACGAUCAGCCACACUGGGACUGAGACACGGCCCAGACUCCUACGGGAGGCAGCAGUGGGGAAUUUUGGACAAUGGGGGCAACCCUGAUCCAGCAAUGCCGCGUGUGUGAAGAAGGCCUUCGGGUUGUAAAGCACUUUUGUCCGGAAAGAAAUCCCUUGCCCUAAUACGGCGGGGGGAUGACGGUACCGGAAGAAUAAGCACCGGCUAACUACGUGCCAGCAGCCGCGGUAAUACGUAGGGUGCGAGCGUUAAUCGGAAUUACUGGGCGUAAAGCGUGCGCAGGCGGUUUUGUAAGACAGGCGUGAAAUCCCCGAGCUCAACUUGGGAAUGGCGCUUGUGACUGCAAGGCUAGAGUAUGUCAGAGGGGGGUAGAAUUCCACGUGUAGCAGUGAAAUGCGUAGAGAUGUGGAGGAAUACCGAUGG